GCAUUUAUUAGAUCAAGACUAAUCGGCUUCGGCCGUUUACUUGGUGACUCUGAAUAACUCAGCUGAUCGCACGGUCUAGUGCCGGCGACAUAUCUUUCAAGUGUCUACCUUAUCAACUGUCGAUGGUAGUUUAUGUGACUACCAUGGUUGUAACGGGUAACGGAGAAUCAGGGUUUGACUCCGGAGAGGGAGCCUGAGAAACGGCUACCACUUCCAAGGAAG
rnacentral:rRNA from 1 species